rnacentral:rRNA from 1 species
AGGAAUAUUGGUCAAUGGACGUAAGUCUGAACCAGCCAAGUCGCGUGAGGGAAGACUGCCCUAUGGGUUGUAAACCUCUUUUAUAAGGGAAGAAUAAGUUCUACGUGUAGAAUGAUGCCUGUACCUUAUGAAUAAGCAUCGGCUAACUCCGUGCCAGCAGCCGCGGUAAUACGGAGGAUGCGAGCGUUAUCCGGAUUUAUUGGGUUUAAAGGGUGCGUAGGCGGUUUAUUAAGUUAGUGGUUAAAUAUUUGAGCUAAACUCAAUUGUGCCAUUAAUACUGGUAAACUGGAGUACAGACGAGGUAGGCGGAAUAAGUUAAGUAGCGGUGAAAUGCAUAGAUAUAACUUAGAACUCCGAUAGCGAAGGCAGCUUACCAGACUGUAACUGACGCUGAUGCACGAGAGCGUGGGUAGCGAACAGGAUUAGAUACCCUGGUAGUCCACGCCGUAAACGAUGCUCACUGGUUCUGUGCGAUAUAUUGUACGGGAUUAAGCGAAAGUAUUAAGUGAGCCACCUGGGGAGUACGUCGGCAACGAUGAAACUCAAAGGAAUUGACGGGGGCCCGCACAAGCGGAGGAACAUGUGGUUUAAUUCGAUGAUACGCGAGGAACCUUACCUGGGUUUAAAUGGGAAAUGCCGUAUUUGGAAACAGAUAUUCUCUUCGGAGCGUUUUUCAAGGUGCUGCAUGGUUGUCGUCAGCUCGUGCCGUGAGGUGUCGGGUUAAGUCCCAUAACGAGCGCAACCCUUACCGUUAGUUGCUAGCAUGUAAUGAUGAGCACUCUAACGGGACUGCCACCGUAAGGUGAGAGGAAGGCGGGGAUGACGUCAAAUCAGCACGGCCCUUACACCCAGGGCUACACACGUGUUACAAUGGCCGGUACAGAGGGCCGCUACCAGGUGACUGGAUGCCAAUCUCAAAAGCCGGUCGUAGUUCGGAUUGGAGUCUGUAACCCGACUCCAUGAAGUUGGAUUCGCUAGUAAUCGCGCAUCAGCCAUGGCGCGGUGAAUACGUUCCCG